UACGAACUGUGCGAACGUUAUUCGGAUUCACUGGGCUUAAAGGGUGCGUAGGCGGUUGCCUAAGUCAGGUGUGAAAGCUCUCGGCUCAACCGAGGAAUUGCGCUUGAGACUGGGUGACUUGAGUGAGAUAGGGGUGUGCGGAACUGCCGGUGGAGCGGUGAAAUGUGUUGAUAUCGGCAGGAACGCCGUUGGCGAAAGCGGCACACUGGGUCUUUUCUGACGCUGAGGCACGAAAGCUAGGGUAGCGAACGGG
rnacentral:misc_RNA from 1 species